rnacentral:rRNA from 1 species
AUUGAACGCUGGCGGCAGGCCUAACACAUGCAAGUCGAACGAGUGGCGGACGGGUGAGUAAUGUCUGGGAAACUGCCUGAUGGAGGGGGAUAACUACUGGAAACGGUAGCUAAUACCGCAUACCAUCAGAUGUGCCCAGAUGGGAUUAGCUAGUGGGUGGGGUAAAGGCUCACCUAGGCGACGAUCCCUAGCUGGUCUGAGAGGAUGACCAGCCACACGGGAACUGAGACAAGGUCCAGACUCCUACGGGAGGCAGCAGUGGGGAAUAUUGGCCAAUGGGCGCAAGCCUGAUAGAACCAUGCCGCGUGGAUGAAGGAGGCCUUCGGGUUGUAAAGUACUUUCAGCGGGGAAGCGGUACCCGCAGAAGAAGCACCGGCUAACUCCGUGCCAGCAGCCGCGGUAAUAC